rnacentral:sRNA from 10 species
GCUGGAAGAGACCUUUAGAACAGCUGGUCAUCAUGCCGACCGGGUGUCUGCACUAAGUUAGGCAUCAAUAUGGUGACCUGCUGGGAUUGGGGGGCCACCAGGUUGCCUAAGGAUGGGUGGACUGGCCCAGAUCAGAAAGGGAACAGGUCAGAACUCCCACACCAAGUGGUAGCAGGACUGUGCCUGGGAAAUAUAGCAAGAUCUU